rnacentral:rRNA from 1 species
UUUGCCUACGGGGCGCAGCAGUGAGGAAUAUUGGUCAAUGGGCGAGAGCCUGAACCAGCCAAGUCGCGUGAGGGAAGACGGUCCUAUGGAUUGUAAACCUCUUUUGCCGGGGAGCAAAAAGCGGUACGUGUACCGCAUCGAGAGUACCCGGAGAAAAAGCAUCGGCUAACUACGUGCCAGCAGCCGCGGUAAUACGUAGGUGGCAAGCGUUAUCCGGAUUUAUUGGGCGUAAAGGGAACGCAGGCGGUCUUUUAAGUCUGAUGUGAAAGCCUUCGGCUUAACCGGAGUAGUGCAU